GAUGAAGAACGUAGCGAAAUGCGAUAAGUAAUGUGAAUUGCAGAAUUCAGUGAAUUAUCGAAUCUUUGAACGCACAUUGCGCCCGCCAGUAUUCUGGCGGGCAUGCCUGUUCGAGCGUCAUUACAACCCUCAGGCCCCCGGGCCUGGCGUUGGGGAUCGGCGGAAGCCCCCUGUGGGCACACGCCGUCCCUCAAAUACAGUGGCGGUCCCGCCGCAGCUUCCAUUGCGUAGUAGCUAACACCUCGCAACUGGAGAGCGGCGCGGCCAUGCCGUAAAACACCCAACUUCUGAAUGUUGACCUCGAAUCAGGUAGGAAUACCCGCUGAACUUAAGCAUAUCAAUAAGCGGAGGA
rnacentral:misc_RNA from 1 species